rnacentral:lncRNA from 1 species
CUACGUAGUGUACUGUCGCGUACUCCGGUCGCUCGUCAGGGGAAGCUUUAGUGAGGAUGAGUCACAGGUAACGAGAGAAAAUAUGCCUCUUGCUUCGGCUUGUGAUGCAAUUUUUUUCCCGAAUUUAUCGUUUGCCAGACCUGAUCGUCGCCCGAGAAUAUCCCGGGAUAUCUUUCCCGAGACCCUUCAGUACGUUCAGUAGCGCUUCACUGCAAGA